GGAGAGCUCAGUGGUAGAGUGCUUGUCUAGCAUACUUGAGGCCCUGGGUUCUAUCCCCAGCACCA
rnacentral:tRNA from 1 species